rnacentral:rRNA from 1 species
AGCGAACGCUGUCGGCAGGCCUAACACAUGCAAGUCGAACGAAGUCUUCGGACUUAGUGGCGGACGGGUGAGUAACACGUGGGAACGUACCUUUUGGUUCGGAACAACUCAGGGAAACUUGAGCUAAUACCGGAUGAGCCCUUGGGGGGAAAGAUUUAUCGCCGAAAGAGCGGCCCGCGUUAGAUUAGCUAGUUGGUGAGGUAAAGGCUCACCAAGGCUACGAUCUAUAGCUGGUCUGAGAGGAUGAUCAGCCACACUGGGACUGAGACACGGCCCAGACUCCUACGGGAGGCAGCAGUGGGGAAUCUUGCGCAAUGGGCGAAAACCUGACGCAGCCAUGCCGCGUGAAUGAUGAAGGUCUUAGGAUUGUAAAAUUCUUUUACCAGGGACGAUAAUGACGGUACCUGGAGAAAAAGCCCCGGCUAACUUCGUGCCAGCCGCCGCCGUAAUAC